rnacentral:rRNA from 1 species
GAACGCUGGCGGCGUGCUUAACACAUGCAAGUCGAACGGAAAGGCCCUGCUUUUGUGGGGUGCUCGAGUGGCGAACGGGUGAGUAACACGUGAGUAACCUGCCCUUGACUUUGGGAUAACUUCAGGAAACUGGGGCUAAUACCGGAUAGGAGCUCCUGCUGCAUGGUGGGGGUUGGAAAGUUUCGGCGGUUGGGGAUGGACUCGCGGCUUAUCAGCUUGUUGGUGGGGUAGUGGCUUACCAAGGCUUUGACGGGUAGCCGGCCUGAGAGGGUGACCGGCCACAUUGGGACUGAGAUACGGCCCAGACUCCUACGGGAGGCAGCAGUGGGGAAUAUUGCACAAUGGGCGGAAGCCUGAUGCAGCAACGCCGCGUGCGGGAUGACGGCCUUCGGGUUGUAAACCGCUUUCGCCUGUGACGAAGCGUGAGUGACGGUAAUGGGUAAAGAAGCACCGGCUAACUACGUGCCAGCAGCCGCGGUGAUACGUAGGGUGCGAGCGUUGUCCGGAUUUAUUGGGCGUAAAGGGCUCGUAGGUGGUUGAUCGCGUCGGAAGUGUAAUCUUGGGGCUUAACCCUGAGCGUGCUUUCGAUACGGGUUGACUUGAGGAAGGUAGGGGAGAAUGGAAUUCCUGGUGGAGCGGUGGAAUGCGCAGAUAUCAGGAGGAACACCAGUGGCGAAGGCGGUUCUCUGGGCCUUUCCUGACGCUGAGGAGCGAAAGCGUGGGGAGCGAACAGGCUUAGAUACCCUGGUAGUCCACGCUGUAAACGGUGGGUACUAGGUGUGGGGUCCAUUCCACGGGUUCCGUGCCGUAGCUAACGCUUUAAGUACCCCGCCUGGGGAGUACGGCCGCAAGGCUAAAACUCAAAGGAAUUGACGGGGCCCCGCACAAGCGGCGGAGCAUGCGGAUUAAUUCGAUGCAACGCGUAGAACCUUACCUGGGUUUGACAUGGAUCGGGAGUGCUCAGAGAUGGGUGUGCCUCUUUUGGGGUCGGUUCACAGGUGGUGCAUGGCUGUCGUCAGCUCGUGUCGUGAGAUGUUGGGUUAAGUCCCGCAACGAGCGCAACCCUUGUUCACUGUUGCCAGCACGUUAUGGUGGGGACUCAGUGGAGACCGCCGGGGUCAACUCGGAGGAAGGUGGGGAUGACGUCAAGUCAUCAUGCCCCUUAUGUCCAGGGCUUCACGCAUGCUACAAUGGCUGGUACAGAGAGUGGCGAGCCUGUGAGGGUGAGCGAAUCUCGGAAAGCCGGUCUCAGUUCGGAUUGGGGUCUGCAACUCGACCUCAUGAAGUCGGAGUCGCUAGUAAUCGCAGAUCAGCAACGCUGCGGUGAAUACGUUCCCGGGGCUUGUACACACCGCCCGUCAAGUCAUGAAAGUUGGUAACACCCGAAGCCGGUGGCCUAACCGUUGUGGGGGAGCCGUCGAAGGUGGGACUGGUGAUU